rnacentral:rRNA from 1 species
CCUACGGGUGGCAGCAGUGAGGAAUAUUGGUCAAUGGACGAGAGUCUGAACCAGCCAAGUAGCGUGAAGGAUGACUGCCCUAUGGGUUGUAAACUUCUUUUAUAUGGGAAUAAAACGUUCCACGUGUGGGAUUUUGUAUGUACCAUAUGAAUAAGGAUCGGCUAACUCCGUGCCAGCAGCCGCGGUAAUACGGAGGAUCCGAGCGUUAUCCGGAUUUAUUGGGUUUAAAGGGAGCGUAGGUGGAUUGUUAAGUCAGUUGUGAAAGUUUGCGGCUCAACCGUAAAAUUGCAGUUGAAACUGGCAGUCUUGAGUACAGUAGAGGUGGGCGGAAUUCGUGGUGUAGCGGUGAAAGGCUUAGAUAUCACGAAGAACUCCGAUUGCGAAGGCAGCUCACUGGACUGCAACUGACACUGAGGCUCGAAAGUGUGGGUAUCAAACAGGAUUAGAGACCCGAGUAGUC